rnacentral:misc_RNA from 1 species
CGCACAUUGCGCCCCUCGGUAUUCCGGGGGGCAUGCCUGUUCGAGCGUCAUUACACCCCUCAAGCGUAGCUUGGUAUUGGACUUUCGCGAGCCCUCUUAUAGGGAGGGGCUCGCGGGUCUGAAACGCAGUGGCGGUCCCCGAGGAUUUCGCGCGUAGUAAAUAUUCUCCCGCGUUGGAAAGAGUCGAUGGGUCUUGCCAAAACGCUCCCUAAUCUCCAUAAAAUUGACCUCGGAUCAGGUAGGGAUACCCGCUGAACUUAA